GAUGAACGCUGGCGGCGUGCCUAACACAUGCAAGUCGAGCGGAAGGACGAGGAGUUUGCUUGGCUGAUGUUAGGGGCGGACGGGUGAGUCACACGUGGAUACCCUACCUGUAUGUGUGGGAUCACUUCGGGAAAGCGGAUCUAACACCGGAUAAGAUUUUGAACCGCGGGGGUCAUAGGAGAAAGACGGCGUUGCUGGCACUACUAGAGGGUUCCCAGCUGUAUUGGCUAGUUGGUAGGGUAACGGCCUACCAAGGCUAGGAUGCGUGGCCGACCUGAGAGGGUGAUCGGCCACACUGGAACUGAGACACGGUCCAGACUCCUACGGGAGGCAGCAGUAGGGAAUGUUCGGCAAUGGGCGAAAGCCUGACGGAGCAACGCCGCGUGUGUGAUGAAGGUCUUCGGAUCGUAAAGCUCUGUUAUUGGGGAAGAACAGCUGUGUAAGUAGACGUGGACAUCUUGACGGUACCUAAUCAAAAAGCACCGGCUAACUACGUG
rnacentral:rRNA from 1 species